ACGGGUGAGUAAUACAUCGGAACGUAUCCUGGAGUGGGGGAUAGCCCGGCGAAAGCCGGAUUAAUACCGCAUACGCUCUGAGGAGGAAAGCGGGGGACCUUCGGGCCUCGCGCUCAAGGGGCGGCCGAUGGCGGAUUAGGUAGUUGGUGGGGUAAAGGCCUACCAAGCCGACGAUCCGUAGCUGGUCUGAGAGGACGACCAGCCACACUGGGACUGAGACACGGCCCAGACUCCUACGGGAGGCAGCAGUGGGGAAUUUUGGACAAUGGGGGCAACCCUGAUCCAGCAAUGCCGCGUGUGUGAAGAAGGCCUUCGGGUUGUAAAGCACUUUUGUCCGGAAAGAAAUCAUCGGGGCCAAUACCCCUGGUGGAUGACGGUACCGGAAGAAUAAGCACCGGCUAACUACGUGCCAGCAGCCGCGGUAAUACGUAGGGUGCGAGCGUUAAUCGGAAUUACUGGGCGUAAAGCGUGCGCAGGCGGCGCUGUAAGACCGAUGUGAAAUCCCCGGGCUUAACCUGGGAACUGCAUUGGUGACUGCAGCGCUGGAGUAUGGCAGAGGGGGGUGGAAUUCCACGU
rnacentral:rRNA from 1 species